rnacentral:rRNA from 1 species
GAUGAACGCUGGCGGCGUGCCUAACACAUGCAAGUCGAGCGAACCCUUCGGGGUGAGCGGCGGACGGGUGAGUAACGCGUGGGUAACCCGCCCUAUACACACGGAUAACGUACCGAAAGGUACGCUAAUACGGGAUAAUAUUGUUGGAUGGCAUCUUCUAACAAUCAAAGCUCCGGCGGUAUAGGAUGGACCCGCGUCUGAUUAGCUAGUUGGUGAGGUAAUGGCUCACCAAGGCGACGAUCAGUAGCCGACCUGAGAGGGUGAUCGGCCACACUGGAACUGAGACACGGUCCAGACUCCUACGGGAGGCAGCAGUGGGGAAUAUUGCACAAUGGGCGAAAGCUUGAUGCAGCAACGCCGCGUGAGCGAUGAAGGUCUUCGGAUCGUAAAGCUCUGUCCUCAAGGAAGAUAAUGACGGUACUUGAGGAGGAAGCCCCGGCUAACUACGUGCCAGCAGCCGCGGUAA